rnacentral:misc_RNA from 1 species
CGCACAUUGCGCCUGCCAGUAUUCUGGCAGGCAUGCCUAUCCGAGCGUGAUUAAAACACAUCGCUGCGCUUGCAGUGGCGCUUGGGCUGCCCUGGAGUACUCCGGGGGGCCUUGAAAAGAUGACUUGCCCUGGGUGUCGCCGGCGCUGCAGACUGCCAGACCGGCGAGCCCGCUGCACUUUUUCCUCGGAUUAGGUAGGAAGACCCGCUGAACUUAA